AUACCGGAUACGACACAUCACUGCAUGGUGCGUGUGUGGAAAGUUUUUUCGGCCAGGGAUGUGCUCGCGGCCUAUCAGCUUGUUGGUGGGGUAAUGGCCUACCAAGGCUUCGACGGGUAGCCGGCCUGAGAGGGUGACCGGCCACACUGGGACUGAGACACGGCCCAGACUCCUACGGGAGGCAGCAGUGGGGAAUAUUGGACAAUGGGCGGAAGCCUGAUCCAGCAACGCCGCGUGAGGGAUGACGGCCUUCGGGUUGUAAACCUCUUUCAGCACAGACGAAGCGCAAGUGACGGUAUGUGCAGAAGAAGGACCGGCCAACUACGUGCCAGCAGCCGCGGUAAUACGUAGGGUCCGAGCGUUGUCCGGAAUUAUUGGGCGUAAAGGGCUCGUAGGCGGUUUGUCGCGUCGGGAGUGAAAACACCGGGCUUAACUCGGUGCUUGCUUUCGAUAC
rnacentral:rRNA from 1 species